rnacentral:lncRNA from 1 species
UAAUUUACAAUUCAUAUAUGCAAUUCAAUUCCCUAGAAUUUGUUUUCAGUUUAAUUCAAUUCUAUCUUUACAAUCAAAUGGAUCCUAAUAUGAUGACGGAGAAACCCAAACUGGGUAAAAACUCCGAGACAAGCCAAUUACCUCAAAUAUAGACAAUUACUGUUACAAUUAGAUGUUGUCUAGACUUUCCGAUCUACUUUCUAUAAUCUCCAAGAUACUCUUGUUUCCUUCAGCUACUCCAUCUUGUAUUGUCUCUUCCAAUGGAAUUUCAAGAAUCACCAAUUCUUGUGCUUUUCUUGUUCUUAGAGUCCACCUCUUCCAAUGCCCAACUGAGAUGGUACCUUCCUUAAAGUGUUAAGGAAAUGGGUGUUUUGAAUUUUGGAUCUUUGAUGUUUUCUCAAAAGAUGGUGUAUGAAAUCAAGAAUCGAAGGAUUGAAUCACAAAUGAUGAAUGUGUUCUUGAAUUUUCAAAGAAUAAUAUGGAAAAGAAACACAAUGAAACAACCACAUGAUUUUCUUGUGAGGGCUUGGGUAUCUAUAGUUGAAAGGGUUUACGUAGUUUGGGCAGAAUAAAACACUUUAAAAAAAUGCAAAUUAGGUUUUCUUGGAAUGCACUGUUGCUCGAGCGACAAGCGAGCAACGUUGUUUCGCUAGAGCGAAGUCCGGGCGACAGGCAAGCAACAAUUAUUCUGUUUUUGUCGCUUGAGCAAUGUCUUGACGAGCAGCUAGUGAAAUUGCGGCGUCUCCUCUUUCCUUAUUCUGGACUCAAACCUUAACAUACCUAACUCAUCUAUACAAAAUUGCACCUAACUCCUUGAUUUUUACACAUGUUCAAUUUAGUUCUUUUUGUUCACAAAAUCGUCAAUUACAUAAAACCUAACAUAGGUAUUGCAAAAUAAAGCUUACUUGUUGAUCCACUCGUGAAUAUUAAGAAAUUGGCUAAAAGGAAAUUGUAAACAAUUAAUUAAAGAGGUGAUAAUUUUGUCAAUAAAAUUCUGAAAUCAUGAAAAUUAGCUAGAAAAAAACUCGUAACGUAAUAUAACAAUUUAUUCACCUUAUAACGACGAAUUGUAUCGUCAAUAACGAAGGCUCAACUGCUUUGCCCAGAGUUUUGCUGAGAAGAUCGGUUCACUUGGAAAAAUUAGAGAUAAUCCUACAAAUUUUACUCUGUACGAACUGAGCACUUUAUAGGAUACUAGAAAAGAAUUUACUUUAAGCUUUAGAACAAUAUGUGCUCAACUUUUAUAUACAUUAUCAAAUAAGGAGGGUAGUCGGUAGUCCCCAUAGCAAAUAUAGAAGACUUUAUUGUAAAGGGAUAAAUCUCACAUCGAACAGAUAUGAAAAUAUUAAUUAACAUAUAAGGAUUUAGGCUAAAGUUUACCUCUCUAGAUGGAACCUCAAGCUCAUUGAACUUAAACGAGCAAUUUGAUCCAACCAAGUUUCAAACGAAUACAUUAUUUUCAAGAUUAGUCUGCUCAAAAGAGUACCAUCUUGCGCCCACUUCAAAUAAAUAUAAAAAUAUUAAUCAGCUUAUAAGAAUUUAGGCUACUCCUUUUAAUAAAAUUGAUAUUUUAAGAUGAAAAAUCCAAGUUUUAAUAGAGCUUAAGAAGUUUUCAAAAAGUGCAUCAUAUAGUCUCUGUUAGAACUAAGAAUGGAAUAACUUUCUAAGAAUUAUGAGAAAAAAUGAUUUUUAUUGGUUAUGUUUAACAGAGUUCUUGAAUCAGCAGUCAAAUCAAUGGUGUUUCUCUCCUUGGCUCGAGUUGAGAUCUGCUGUUCAAUUUUUGUUGUUAAUUCAAUUAAUUAUUAACACGUCAUUUUAAAUUAAUAUAUCAUCAAUUGGUACGUUAGUAGUGAAUUUGAAAUGUCAUGUUAAUUUAAAAAUGACUUGUCAAUAAUUAAUUGGAUAGACAACAAAUUGGACAGACAAAUCUCAACUUGGUCCGAAUUGGUCCACUACCAAAACUGCUAAAAAAUGAUGAAGAUUAAGUAAAAUCACUAGUAUUAUUUUCUUUGAUGUUCGCGAUCUUGGAAGAUCUAAAGUCCUUUA